AACGAACGCUGGCGGCAUGCCUAACACAUGCAAGUCGAACGAGACCUUCGGGUCUAGUGGCGCACGGGUGCGUAACGCGUGGGAACCUGCCCUUAGGGUCGGAAUAACUCCCCGAAAGGGGUGCUAAUACCGGAUAAUGUCUUCGGACCAAAGAUUUAUCGCCUUUGGAUGGUCCCGCGUUGGAUUAGCUAUUUGGUAGGGUAAAAGCCUACCAAGGCGACGAUCCAUAACUGGUCUGAGAGGAUGAUCAGCCAACCUGGGACGGAGACACGGCCCAGACUCCUACGGGAGGGAGCAGUGGGGAAUAUUGGACACUGGGCGAGAGCCUGAUACAGCAAUGCCGCGUGAGUGAUGAAGGCCUUAGGGUUGUAAAGGUCUUUUACACGGGAUGAUAAUGACAGUACCGUGAGAAUAAGCUCCGGCUAACUCCGUG
rnacentral:rRNA from 1 species